GAUGAACGCUAGCGACAGGCCUAACACAUGCAAGUCGAGGGGCAGCACAUGAGUAGCAAUACGAUGGUGGCGACCGGCGCACGGGUGAGUAACACGUAUGCAACCUGCCUUCUACUAUGGGAUAACCCGUUGAAAGACGGACUAAUACCGUAUAAUACAGGGGCUCCGCAUGGAGAUAUUUGUUAAAGAUUUAUUGGUAGAAGAUGGGCAUGCGUAUGAUUAGAUAGUUGGUGAGGUAACGGCUCACCAAGUCAACGAUCAUUAGGGGUUCUGAGAGGAAGGUCCCCCACACUGGUACUGAGACACGGACCAGACUCCUACGGGAGGCAGCAGUGAGGAAUAUUGGUCAAUGGACGAGAGUCUGAACCAGCCAAGUCGCGUGAAGGAAGACGGUUCUAUGAAUUGUAAACUUCUUUUGUGCAGGAAUAAAGUGGGUUACGUGUAACCUUUUGUAUGUACUGUACGAAUAAGGAUCGGCUAACUCCGUGCCAGCAGCCGCGGUAAGAC
rnacentral:rRNA from 1 species